UACGUAGGGGGCAAGCGUUGUCCGGAUUUAUUGGGCGUAAAGAGCGUGUAGGCGGCCAGACAGGUCCGUUGUGAAAACUCGAGGCUCAACCUCGAGACGCCGAUGGAAACCGUCUGGCUAGAGUCCGGAAGAGGAGAGUGGAAUUCCUGGUGUAGCGGUGAAAUGCGCAGAUAUCAGGAAGAACACCAAUAGCGAAGGCAGCUCGCUGGGACGGUACUGACGCUAAGGCGCGAAAGCGUGGGGAGCGAACAGG
rnacentral:rRNA from 1 species